UGAGUAAUGCUUAGGAAUCUGCCUAUUAGUGGGGGACAACGUUCCGAAAGGAGCGCUAAUACCGCAUACGUCCUACGGGAGAAAGCAGGGGACCUUUGGGCCUUGCGCUAAUAGAUGAGCCUAAGUCGGAUUAGCUAGUUGGUAGGGUAAAGGCCUACCAAGGCGACGAUCUGUAGCGGGUCUGAGAGGAUGAUCCGCCACACUGGGACUGAGACACGGCCCAGACUCCUACGGGAGGCAGCAGUGGGGAAUAUUGGACAAUGGGGGGAACCCUGAUCCAGCCAUGCCGCGUGUGUGAAGAAGGCCUUUUGGUUGUAAAGCACUUUAAGCGAGGAGGAGGCUACCUAGAUUAAUACUUUAGGAUAGUGGACGUUACUCGCAGAAUAAGCACCGGCUAACUCUGUGCCAGCAGCCGCGGUAAUACAGAGGGUGCGAGCGUUAAUCGGAUUUACUGGGCGUAAAGCGUGCGUAGGCGGCCAAUUAAGUCAAAUGUGAAAUCCCCGAGCUUAACUUGGGAAUUGCAUUCGAUACUGGUUGGCUAGAGUAUGGGAGAGGAUGGUAGAAUUCCAGGUGUAGCGGUGAAAUGCGUAGAGAUCUGGAGGAAUACCGAUGGCGAAGGCAGCCAUCUGGCCUAAUACUGACGCUGAGGUACGAAAGCAUGGGGAGCAAACAGGAUUAGAUACCCUGGUAGUCCAUGCCGUAAACG
rnacentral:rRNA from 1 species